GAUGAACGCUGGCGGCGUGCCUAACACAUGCAAGUCGAGCGAUUCACUUCGGUGAAGAGCGGCGGACGGGUGAGUAACGCGUGGGUAACCUGCCUCAUACACAUGGAUAACAUACCGAAAGGUAUGCUAAUACAAGAUGAUAUAAGAGAUUCGCAUGGAUUUCUUAUCAAAGCUCCGGCGGUAUGAGAUGGACCCGCGUCUGAUUAGCUAGUUGGUAAGGUAACGGCUUACCAAGGCGACGAUCAGUAGCCGACCUGAGAGGGUGAUCGGCCACAUUGGAACUGAGACACGGUCCAAACUCCUACGGGAGGCAGCAGUGGGGAAUAUUGCACAAUGGGCGAAAGCCUGAUGCAGCAACGCCGCGUGAGCGAUGAAGGCCUUCGGGUCGUAAAGCUCUGUCCUCAAGGAAGAUAAUGACGGUACUUGAGGAGGAAGCCCCGGCUAACUACGUGCCAGCAGCCGCGGUAAUACGUAGGGGGCUAGCGUUAUCCGGAUUUACUGGGCGUAAAGGGUGCGUAGGUGGUUUCUUAAGUCAGGAGUGAAAGGCUACGGCUCAACCGUAGUAAGCUCUUGAAACUGGGAAACUUGAGUGCAGGAGAGGAAAGUGGAAUUCCUAGUGUAGCGGUGAAAUGCGUAGAUAUUAGGAGGAACACCAGUAGCGAAG
rnacentral:rRNA from 1 species